rnacentral:tRNA from 1 species
GCCCAGGUGGUGAAAUUGGUAGACACGCCAGCUUCAGGUGCUGGUGGCCUAACGGCCGUGGAAGUUCGAGUCUUCUCCUGGGCACCA